rnacentral:misc_RNA from 1 species
GAUGAAGAACGCAGCGAAAUGCGAUACGUAAUGUGAAUUGCAGAAUUCAGUGAAUCAUCGAGUCUUUGAACGCACAUUGCGCCCCCUGGUAUUCCGGGGGGCAUGCCUGUCCGAGCGUCAUUGCUGCCCUCAAGCACGGCUUGUGUGUUGGGCCUCCGUCCUCCUCCCGGGGGACGGGCCCGAAAGGCAGCGGCGGCACCGCGUCCGGUCCUCGAGCGUAUGGGGCUUCGUCACCCGCUCUUGUAGGCCCGGUCGGCGCUUGCCGACACAUCAAUCUUUUUUCCAGGUUGACCUCGGAUCAGGUAGGGAUACCCACUGAACUUAAGCAUAUCAAUAAGCGGAGGA